UACGUAGGUGGAAAGCGUUGUCCGGAAUUAUUGGGCGUAAAGCGCGCGCAGGCGGCCUCUUAAGUCUGAUGUGAAAGCCCCCGGCUCAACCGGGGAGGGCCAUUGGAAACUGGGAGGCUUGAGUAUAGGAGAGAAGAGUGGAAUUCCACGUGUAGCGGUGAAAUGCGUAGAGAUGAUGGAGGAACACCAGUGGCGGAAGGCGACUCUUUGGCCUAUAACUGACGCUGAGGCGCGAAAGCGUGGGGAGCAAACAGG
rnacentral:rRNA from 1 species